rnacentral:rRNA from 1 species
CGCGCAGGCGGUCGAUCAAGUCGAGUGUGAAAGCCCCCGGCUCAACUGGGGAGGGUCAUUCGAAACUGGUCGACUCGAAGGCAGGAGAGGGUAGUGGAAUUCCCGGUGUAGUGGUGAAAUGCGUAGAUAUCGGGAGGAACACCAGUGGCGAAGGCGACUACCUGGCCUGUUCUUGACGCUGAGGCGCGAAAGCUAGGGGAGCAAACG